GACGAACGCUGGCGGCGUGCCUAAUACAUGCAAGUAGAACGCUGAAGGAGGAGCUUGCUUCUCUGGAUGAGUUGCGAACGGGUGAGUAACGCGUAGGUAACCUGCCUGGUAGCGGGGGAUAACUAUUGGAAACGAUAGCUAAUACCGCAUAAGAGUAGAUGUUGCAUGACAUUUGCUUAAAAGGUGCAAUUGCAUCACUACCAGAUGGACCUGCGUUGUAUUAGCUAGUUGGUGAGGUAACGGCUCACCAAGGCGACGAUACAUAGCCGACCUGAGAGGGUGAUCGGCCACACUGGGACUGAGACACGGCCCAGACUCCUACGGGAGGCAGCAGGAGGGAAACUUCGGGAAGGGACGGAAGUCUGACCGAGCAACGCCGCGGGAGUGAAGAAGGUUGUCGGAUCGUAAAGCUCGGUUGUAAGAGAAGAACGAGUGUGAGAGUGGAAAGUUCACACUGUGACGGUAUCUUACCAGAAAGGGACGGCUAACUACGUG
rnacentral:rRNA from 1 species